rnacentral:lncRNA from 1 species
CCUUGGUCUGUUGGUUCUUUAUAUCCUGAGUUAUGAUUUCUCUGCCUGAGAAUGCAUUUUGGGAGACAAACUUCAUCAGUUUUGUGUGAUGUGGUAUGCUGGCCAUGUGAGUUCCUGUUCGAUAAUUCCACAGCCUCAAGCCAGGAAACUCCUCAGCAGCCCAGUUCCAGUGACUGAGUCCACUUUGAAGACACCUUGUUGUGGGCUGCCCAUACUGUGAGGCCUGUACCCAACCAGCCCACUGGCCUUCAGUUCCAUCAGGACUGGAAGCACCUGCACACAGAGCUGAAAAGCAAACCUUUUUUAUGACUGGACGUGAACAUGUGCCGUGAUAGCUAUGACUAUUAUGCUGAUCCAUUAUAUUGAUGAUAUCAUGAAGAUAUGAGGUAAAAAGGAGAAAACAGUGAAGAAUGGUGGAAGCCUUAAGGUAUAUGUGCACCAGUGGGCAGAAGAAAUCCCUACAGAAUUUCAGCAGCCGGCCAAAAUGAUUUUCUACCAAAUAAAAAAAGGUGACCUUCACUCUUCAAAAUUAUCAAAAGAAGAAUGAGGAACUGUUCCAGAUUAAAGACAUGACAACCAAACAACGUGAUUCUGUACUGGAUCCUUCACUGAGCUGGGGGUUCGGAGGUGGGCAGGCUGCUUAUGAAUGAUUUAGCAUCAUCCCUUUGGUGCUGUCCUCACGGUAGUGAGUUAGUUCUCAUGAGAACUGGCUGUUUAAAAGUGUGUAGCACCUCCCCCCUCACUCUCUUCCUUCUGCUCUGGCCAUGUAAGAUGUGCCUUGCUUCCCUUUUGCCUUCCGCCAUGAUUGAAAGUUUCCUGAGACCUCCCCAGAAGCAGAGGCCAGCAUCAUGCUUCCUGUGCAGCCUGCAGAACCGUAAGCCAAUUAAGCCUUUAUUCUUUAGGAAUUACCCAGUUUCAGGUAUUUAUUUAUAGCAGUGCGAGAAUGGACUAAUACAGGCAUAUACUCAAUAAUGAUUUUGCUGGGUCAAACAGUAGUUCUGAGUUCUUUGAGAAAUCUCCAACUGCUUUCUACAGUGGCUGAACUAAUUUACAUUCCCACCAGAAGUAUAUAAGCAUUCCCUUUUCUCCACAAUCUUGCCAGCAUCUGUAAUUUUCUGACUUUAAUAAUAGACAUUCUGAUUGGGGUGGGAUAUGACACCUCAUUGUAGUUUUGAUUUGCAUUUCUCUAAUGAUUAGUGAUGUUCAGCAUUUUUCAUGUUUGGCUGUGCAUAUGUCGUCUUUUGAGAAAUGUCAUCUUGAGAAAUGUCUGUUCAUGUCCUUUACCCGUUUUAAGAAGGUUGCUUGUUUUUUGCUUGCUGAUUUAAGAUUCCC